rnacentral:rRNA from 1 species
ACGCUCGACACCUACGGGAGGCAGCAGUGGGGAAUAUUGGGCAAUGGGCGCAAGCCUGACCCAGCAACGCCGCGUGAAGGAAGAAGGCCCUCGGGUUGUAAACUUCUUUUGACAGGGACGAAGAAAAUGACGGUACCUGUCGAAUAAGCCACGGCUAACUACGUGCCACAGCCGCGGUAAUCUGAGCGGGCUGGCAAGGC